rnacentral:sRNA from 1 species
UGACCCUUUUUAAAGCCGAGGGUCACCUAGCCAACUGACGUUGUUAGUGAACCUUAUAUUGUUCACCAAAAUAUUUAACCACCCGCGAUUUGCGUGUGGUUUUUUUUGC